rnacentral:rRNA from 1 species
GAGCGAACGCGGAUUAGCCCAAACCAAUAAAGUUUUCUUUAUUGGGGUUGCGGACAUAUCAUAACGAAGAGGUAUCGUAAUUGAAGAGGUUUGGAAAGACCCACCACAGAAGGUAAUAGUCCUGUAUGUUAAACGAGAAGACUUCAGAUAUGAUCCAGAGUACCACGGGACACGUGAAACCCUGUGGGAAGCAGGAGGGACCACCCUCCAAGGCUAAAUACUACCUAGUGACCGAUAGCGUAUAGUACCGUGAGGGAAAGGUGAAAAGAACCCCGGGAGGGGAGUGAAAUAGAACCUGAAACCCUGCACUUACAAGCUGUGGAAGCACAUUUCUUGUGUGACCGCGUACUUUUUGUAGAACGGGCCAACGAGUUACGUUAAGUAGCAAGGUUAAGCACUUAAGGUGCGGAGCCGUAGCGAAAGCGAGUUUUAACUGAGCGUUCAGUUACUUGACGUAGACCCGAAACCGGGCGACCUACCCAUGAGCAGGAUGAAGCGAAAGUAAAAUUUCGUGGAGGUCCGAACCCACGAGCGUUGAAAAGCUCGGGGAUGACUUGUGGGUAGCGGUGAAAUUCCAAUCGAGCCCGGAGAUAGCUGGUUCUCCCCGAAAUAGCUUUAGGGCUAGCCUCAAGGUGAGAGAUACGGAGGUAGAGCACUGAAUGUCCUAGGGGGUAUUGCACCUACCGAAGACUAUCAAACUCCGAAUGCCGUCAUCUUAUACUUGGGAGUCAGACUGUGGGUGAUAAGAUUCAUAGUCGAAAGGGC